rnacentral:rRNA from 1 species
CCUAAUACAUGCAAGUCGAACGCUUCUUUCCUCCCGAGUGCUUGCACUCAAUUGGAAAGAGGAGUGGCGGACGGGUGAGUAACACGUGGGUAACCUACCCAUCAGAGGGGGAUAACACUUGGAAACAGGUGCUAAUACCGCAUAACAGUUUAUGCCGCAUGGCAUAAGAGUGAAAGGCGCUUUCGGGUGUCGCUGAUGGAUGGACCCGCGGUGCAUUAGCUAGUUGGUGAGGUAACGGCUCACCAAGGCCACGAUGCAUAGCCGACCUGAGAGGGUGAUCGGCCACACUGGGACUGAGACACGGCCCAGACUCCUACGGGAGGCAGCAGUAGGGAAUCUUCGGCAAUGGACGAAAGUCUGACCGAGCAACGCCGCGUGAGUGAAGAAGGUUUUCGGAUCGUAAAACUCUGUUGUUAGAGAAGAACAAGGACGUUAGUAACUGAACGUCCCCUGACGGUAUCUAACCAGAAAGCCACGGCUAACUACGUGCCAGCAGCCGCGGUAAUACGUAGGUGGCAAGCGUUGUCCGGAUUUAUUGGGCGUAAAGCGAGCGCAGGCGGUUUCUUAAGUCUGAUGUGAAAGCCCCCGGCUCAACCGGGGAGGGUCAUUGGAAACUGGGAGACUUGAGUGCAGAAGAGGAGAGUGGAAUUCCAUGUGUAGCGGUGAAAUGCGUAGAUAUAUGGAGGAACACCAGUGGCGAAAGCGGCUCUCUGGUCUGUAACUGACG